rnacentral:rRNA from 1 species
AGUGAACGCUGGCGGUAGGCCUAACACAUGCAAGUCGAACGGCAGCACAGUAAGAGCUUGCUCUUACGGGUGGCGAGUGGCGGACGGGUGAGGAAUACAUCGGAAUCUACUUUUUCGUGGGGGAUAACGUAGGGAAACUUACGCUAAUACCGCAUACGACCUACGGGGGAAAGAAGGGGAUCUUCGGACCUUGCGCGAUUGAAUGGGCCGAUGUCGGAUUAGCUAGUUGGCGGGGUAAAGGCCCACCAAGGCGACGAUCCGUAGCUGGUCUGAGAGGAUGAUCAGCCACACUGGAACUGAGACACGGUCCAGACUCCUACGGGAGGCAGCAGUGGGGAAUAUUGGACAAUGGGCGCAAGCCUGAUCCAGCCAUACCGCGUGGGUGAAGAAGGCCUUCGGGUUGUAAAGCCCUUUUGUUGGGAAAGAAAAGCAGCAGGUUAAUACCCCGCUGUUCUGACGGUACCCAAAGAAUAAGCACCGGCUAACUUCGUG